CCCUCCUGCAAAGGCAUGUUUUUGGUUCUCUAUCCUUGGACACUUAAGAACUGGAGGCAAAGAAAUGUGGAUUUGGUGAAGUCUGGGGCCAGCUAGCUCCAGGCAGGCUCAGGAUCAACCAUCCCACAUAG
ensembl:snoRNA